rnacentral:rRNA from 1 species
GUGUGUUUUGUUACGGGCGUAUGGUGGAUGCCUUGGCAUGCUGAGCCGAUGAAGGACGUGUGAGGCUGCGUUAUGCCUCGGGGAGUUGCCAACAAAGCGUUGAUCCGAGGAUGUCCGAAUGGGGAAACCCAGCACCGGUUGUGUGGUGUUACCCGCAGGUGAAUUCAUAGCCUGUGUGGGGGUUGACGCGGGGAAGUGAAACAUCUCAGUACCCGUAGGAGAAGAAAACAAUUGUGAUUCCGUGUGUAGUGGCGAGCGAUAGCGGAUGAGGCUAAACCGUGUGCGUGUGAUACCUGGCAGGGGUUGCGUGUGCGGUGUUGUGGGGCGCAAGUGGUGCAGGCUGCCGACUGCAAGCGCAAUUUGCAUACAUCAGCGGAAGCAUCUGGGAUGGUGCACCGGAGUAGGUGAUGAGUCCUGUACGUGAAGGUGUGUGUGGUUGUGUUGUUUGUGUUUUUCCCCGAGUAGCAGCGGGCUCGUGGAAUCUGCUGUGAAUCUGCCGGGACCACCCGGUAAGCCUAAAUACUCAGUGUGACCGAUAGUGAAUGAAGUACCGUGAGGGAAUGGUGAAAAGUACCCCGGGAGGGGAGUGAAAGAGUUCCUGAAACCAUGCGCUUACAAUCCGUCAGAGCACCUUUGUGUGUGAUGGCGUGCCUUUUGAAGAAUGAGCCUGCGAGUCAGCGGCAUGUCGCGAGGUUAACCCGUUUGUGGGGUAGUCGUAGCGAAAGCGAAUCCGAAUAGGGUGGCAAGUGGCAUGUCCUGGACCCGAAGCGGGGUGAUCUACCCAUGGCCAGUGUGAAGCAGCUGUAAGAGGUUGUGGAGGCGCGAACCCACUUAGGUUGAAAACUGAGGGGAUGAGCUGUGGGUAGGGGUGAAAGGCCAAUCAAACUCCGUGAUAGCUGGUUCUCCCCGAAAUGCAUUUAGGUGCAGCGUGAUGUGAGCUUGCCGGAGGUAGAGCUACUGGUUGGUUGAGCGGGACUAUCAUCUUAGCGACGUCAGCCAAACUCCGAAUACCGGUGAAGUGGUGCAUUGCAGUGAGACUGUGGGGGAUAAGCUUCAUAGUCGAGAGGGAAACAGCCCAGAUCGCCGGUUAAGGCCCCUAAGGGUGUGCUAAGUGGAAAAGGAUGUGGGAUCGCGAAGACAGCCAGGAGGUUGGCUUAGAAGCAGCCAUCCUUGAAAGAGUGCGUAAUAGCUCACUGGUCGAGUGGUUCCGCGCCGACAAUGUAGUGGGGCUCAAGCACACCGCCGAAGCCGCGGCAAUAGUUUUGCUAUUGGGUAGGGGAGCGUCGUGUGUGGGGUGAAGCCGUAUCGGAAGGAGCGGUGGACUGCAUGCGAGUGAGAAUGCAGGCAUGAGUAACGAAUGGCAAGUGAGAAUCUUGCCCGCCGGAUGACUAAGGGUUCCUGGGUCAAGUUCGUCUUCCCAGGGUGAGUCGGGUCCUAAGGCGAGGCCGACAGGCGUAGUCGAUGGUCAACGGGUUGAUAUUCCCGUACCCGUAUGUGCGCGCCCAGUAUCGAAGCGGUGAGACUAACCACCCUGAUCUACCGACCGGUGCCACUUUUCGAAGUGGUUGGUUGGUGGUGAUGCGUGGGGCCUGAUCCGUGGUAGGUCAGUGAUGGGGUGACGCAGUGAGGUAGCCGAGCCGCUUAUUGGAUUGCGGUGCAAGCGUGUGGCACGACAACAUUGGUCAAAUCCGGUUGUCAUGAGUGUGAGGCGUGAUGCGUAGCCCAUUGGGGUGAUGUUGGUGAUCCUGUACUGCCGAGAAAAGCCUCUAGCGAUGUG